UACGGAGGGUGCGAGCGUUGUCCGGAAUCAUUGGGCGUAAAGGGCGCGUAGGUGGCCCGGUCAGUCUUUGGUGAAAGCGCGGGGCUCAACCCUGCGUCGGCCAGGGAUACUGCCGCGGCUCGAGCACUGUAGAGGCAGGCGGAAUUCCGGGUGUAGCGGUGGGAUGCGUAGAGAUCCGGAAGAACACCGGUGGCGAAGGCGGUCUGCUGGGCAGUAGCUGACACUGAGGCGCGACAGCGUGGGGAGCAAACAGG
rnacentral:rRNA from 1 species